rfam:Camelus ferus unplaced genomic scaffold scaffold777, whole genome shotgun sequence.
GAGGGUAUAGCUCAAGUGGUAGCGCGCAUGCUUACCGUGCAGGAGGUUCUGGGUUCAAUCCCUAGUACCUCCU